rnacentral:rRNA from 1 species
CUACGGGCCGCACCAGUGAGGAAUAUUGCACAAUGGGGGGAACCCUGAUGCAGCAACGCCGCGUGGAGGAUGACGCAUUUCGGUGUGUAAACUCCUUUUAUAUGUCAAGAAAAUGACGGUAGCAUAUGAAUAAGCACCGGCUAACUCCGUGCCAGCAGCCGCGGUAAUACGGAGGGUGCAAGCGUUACUCGGAAUCACUGGGCGUAAAGGACGCGUAGGCGGGUUGGAAAGUCAGGUGUGAAAUCCUACAGCUUAACUGUAGAACUGCACUUGAAGCUUCUAAUCUAGAGGAUGGGAGGGGGAGAUGGAAUUAGUGGUGUAGGGGGGAAAUCCGUAGAUAUCACUAGGAAUACCUAAAGCGAAGGCGAUCUCCUGGAACAUUACUGACGCUAAGGCGUGAAAGCGUGGGGAGCAAACAGGAUUAGAUACCCUCGUAGUC